UACGUAGGGUGCAAGCGUUGUCCGGAAUUAUUGGGCGUAAAGAGCUCGUAGGCGGUUUGUUGCGUCGGCUGUGAAAUCCCGAGGCUCAACCUCGGGUCUGCAGUCGAUACGAGCAAACUAGAGUGUUGCAGGGGAGAGUGGAAUUCCUGGUGUAGCGGUGAAAUGCGCAGAUAUCAGGAAGAACACCCGUGGCUAAGGCGGCUCUCUAGUACGGUACUGACGCUGAGACGCGAAAGCGUGGGGAGCGAACAGG
rnacentral:rRNA from 1 species